rnacentral:misc_RNA from 1 species
GGAAGGAUCAUUAACAAAUCUGCUAUAUAUGGGCUUGUACCAUAUAUAUAUUUACCCCGAGCCUGGCAGCAAUGCCGGCUUUGGUUGGGUGGGGCGCAAGCCCUGCUCCGGUUGUGCAACAGCGUUGCCUACCACAUAGACGCUUGUAUGUUUGACAGAGUUACAGUUGUAAAACUAAAAUGACAACUUUUAACAAUGGAUCUCUUGGCUCUUGCAACGAUGAAGAACGCAGUGAAAUGCGAAAAGUAAUGCGAUUUGCAUGAAUCUGUGAGUCAUCAAGUCUUUGAACGCACCUUGCACCGUAUGAGCAAUCGUACGGUAUACCUGUUUGAGAAUCGUAAAACUCUCUUUCUGCUACUAGUUAGUGGAAGAUUUGUCGGUUGUGCAUCAGUGCACUCUGAUUAAAAGGAUCAAGUCUGAAUCGGGCUGGUGGCCUGGGACAUUGUGUGCUAGAGACGUCGCUUCGGCUGACUGUCUUCUCACAAUGCGUCCUUGGCUACUUAAAGCUGGUCUGAUUUCGGGCUUUUCAGUAGUAGCCUUUACGGGAUACUACAACCCCCCUUUUUGAUCUCAAAUCAGGUAAGGCUACCCGCUGAACUUAAGCAUAUCAGUAAGCGGAGGAAAAGAAACUAACAAGGAUUCCCCUAGUAACGGCGAGCGAAGCGGGAAGAGCUCAAAUUUAAAAUCUGGGAGGCUUGCCUCUCCGAAUUGUAGUUUAAAGAGGUGUUAUCUGGUCUUUGGUCGGUGCUCAAGUCCCUUGGAAUAGGGCGUCACAGAGGGUGAGAACCCCGUCUGGGCACUGAUCAAAGGUCUCUAUGAGGCACUCUCUACGAGUCGGGUUGUUUGGGAAUGCAGCUCAAAAUGGGUGGUAAAUUUCAUCUAAGGCUAAAUACUGGCAAGAGACCGAUAGCGAACAAGUACCGUGAGGGAAAGAUGAAAAGCACCUUGAAAAGGGAGUUAAAUAGUGCGUGAAAUUGUUAAAAGGGAAACGAUUGAGACCAGUAUUGUUGCUGGCUUUGAGCUGCGUGUUGGUGCAAGCCUGUGCGUAGUGUAGCAGUCAGUGACGAGUCAGCGUCAGUUUGGGUUUCCGGAGAGAGGUUGGAGGAAGAUGGGCUUGGUUUUCGGACCAAUCUUUUAUAGACUCUAACUGGCACGGGAGCCUGGACUGAGGUGAGCGACCGUAGUACUCAUAGCCCGAGACCAUUCCCCAAGGGCAAGGACUGCACGCAGACCUUGCCUGCAAGGAAGGGAGGUAGGGCUAUGCAUACGGUUCCAGGAUGCUGACGAAAUGGUCUUAAACGACCCGUCUUGAAACACGGACCAAGGAGUCCAACAUAUAUGCGAGUAUUUGGGUGGCAAACCCGAGUGCGUAAUGAAAGUGAUCUGGAUGAGAACCGUGAGGUGCAUCAUCGACCGAACCCUGAUGUCUUCUGAUGGGUUUGAGUAAGAGCAUAUCUGUUGGGACCCGAAAGGUAGUGAACUAUGCCUGGAUAGGAUGAAGCCAGAGGAAACUCUGGUGGAGGUCCGUAGCCGUUCUGACGUGCAAAUCGAUGGUCAAAUCUGGGUAUAGGGGCGAAAGACUAAUCGAACUACCUAGUAGCUGGUUCCCUC